rfam:Colletotrichum orbiculare MAFF 240422 contig06412, whole genome shotgun sequence.
GCGGACAUAGCUCAGUUGGGAGAGCGUCAGACUGAAGCCAACUUCAAUCAUUUAAUCUGAAGGUCGUGUGUUCAAUCCACACUGGCCGCA